GCGCCCAUAGCUCAGCCCGGAUAGAGCAGCGGACUACGGAUCCGCGUGCGGGGGUUCAAAUCCUCCUGGGCGCGCCA
rnacentral:tRNA from 2 species